rnacentral:misc_RNA from 1 species
ACCUACUGUUUAAUUUUGAGGGUUCGUUUUUACGAAUACUCAAAAUUAGCACUUUAAGCAACGGGAUUUAUCCGUUGGCGCCGUGCUUUAGCACUUUUAGCAACGGAAUUUAUUCGUUGGCGCUGUGUGUUAGCACUUUGAAAACUGCAUAUAUAUUUAGUGAUAUGACAUCUAAUUUGUAAUAUAUAAAGCUGAUAACUUUUUAAAAUUAUCGAAGUUGAUAGCUUCUAAUCUAUCAAACCUUUUUAACUGGUCAA